UCAGCCCCUGUUGGGUUGGCAGGAUCUCCACAGCAGCGGGGGUUCAGGGUUAGCCGUCCACUGCAUUAGAGAGGGCAGGACAUCGCCACUCCUGUAGCUGCGGUCUCAGGCUCGCUGCAGACUCAGGUCAUGUUCUCCAGGGUUGUUGGUGUUUUUGAUUUUUGGAGCCCUGAGGACUAGAAAUGUUGUUUACCUUUUUAAAGUGAACCCUGGUAUUUUGACAUGAUCCCAGAAGCUGGGGCCUGGGACACAUGUCUAUAAUGCCUGAGUUAUGUUUUAAUGAGGCUCUGUUUUUACAGUGUGUGCCUCCUCCUACCUGCCCCAGAGCCUCACUUAUUUAGCAGGAGCGGGAUGGCUCCUUCUGACAUUAAUUUACAGGGAGUCUUUAAGAUUAUAAUUCCUUUAUGUAUGAUAAGUAAAAAAUAUAACAUUAAAUGUCUCUGGGUGGUGCUUAUGCUGUGUGGAUAGGUAAAAGAAUGACCUCCAGUACUGUAUAUUUAGCCGCUUUAAGGUGUGAUUCGAAGCGCAUUGAAAUUAGUGGAAAGAUUCGUAUUGGCUUUGGAUCAGGAUUGUAGUGAACAUUUAAUAACAACAACAACAAAUAGCUGCUAGUCCACAUAAUAUAAUAAAUAAUGGUCUGGAAAAUUACAUCUGAUAAAAUGUGCACUAUUAUUAUCAAAAAGAAAAGGAGUACUUGUGGCACCUUAGAGACUAACCAAUUUAUUUGAACAUAAGCUUUCGUGAGCUACAGCUCACUUCAUUGGAUGCAUACUGUGGAAAGUACAGAAGAUCUUUUUAUACACACAAAUCUUAUUAAAAUAUGUAGAAUUUGUCUGGCCCACACAAGAUUGUGCUUAGGUUUAUGUGGCUCUCCUGUGUAAUAAGGUUGGGCACCGCUAGGUGCCUAACUGAAGGUAUCCAAGUUGAACAAAGCCAGACUAAACAAAGCCAUAUCCAUCUUCCAUAGCUUUCAAUAAGAGCAAGAUCUGGCCCUUUGUCGCUUCUAACACUAAUAAGUAAUACAGAAGCUGCAGGUAGAAAGAUAUCUAGUCCACAUACAUGUUUUUCGUUUAACGUACCCUUCCCACCUCCCUUUGUAAUUAAUAUUGAUACUUUUUCUAGGUGGCAAAUGUUCUUAAAUAGAUAUUGGGAUCUUAGUGGCACACAUUCUUAAAUAGAUGUUAGGAUCCACUGAAUGCGUCCGAUGAAGUGAGCUGUAGCUCACGAAAGCUUAUGCUCAAAUAAAUUGGUUAGUCUCUAAGGUGCCACAAGUACUCCUUUUUGCGAAUACAAACUAACACGGCUGCUACUCCGAUACCUGUCAUUAGGAUCUUAGUAAUUAAUAAAUAGUUUGGUGCUGCUCUAAAAGAGCAGAUUAUUUCAGAAAGCUAUAAUAAUUUAGCUUCCAGUUUAUUUUGCUGUUAUUCUUUAGAUAUUUGUUUAUGGUGGUGCCCAUUUUAACAGUGAGAUUAUGAGUGCCACAAUCGAGCCGCUGAAAGUGGCAUGCAUGGAACCAGCAAGCUUGUUUUCUUCUUUCAUCUUUCUUGGGUGGAUUAGGCUAUAAAAUAUUCAGACUCUAAUAAUUCCUAGAACGGUUGCUGUCAGCAUUUUCAGAAUCACAGAUCCACAGUGCCUCCUCCUGCAGGAAAACUGUGUCAGAAUGCCCAGAGAGAGAGAAGAAAAAUCAGCCAGGGGAAUUUCAUGGAUUCUUCCUUGAACUGCUCCUACUUGUAUAAAGGUCUUUGUGGACCAUGGAUAUUGCAGUUUUCUCACCCUGUUGUUGGAUUUCCUGUGGAUCGUUGGGUAUGUGUGAGGAAGAGAGCACCGUUCUGCACAUAGAUGCUAUCCUGGAGGGAUAGCUGCUGCUGCUGCUGCUCUGUUGCAUCCCCUACCCCCAAUAGCACAACUUGUCAAUUGAUAGAGUCCACGUGCAGCCAUAUAGUAGUGAAAAUGUAGGAUACCUGAGGUGAGAGUAAAAUCUCACAUGUUUUGCACUGAAAUCAAUGGAGUUAUUACCGAAUUACCCUGAUGUGAGACCAGAAUUAGACUACAGAGGGAGGUUAUUUGGUGAUACGUCCUGUGUGGAUUGUCACAGAAAUCAAGGAGAUGAGCAGCUGAUGGUUCUGCAGUGCACAGCACCUCUGCUACUCCAUUCCCUCAAACCCCCACCUCUGAACUCCAAAGAAGUGAAAUGGAAUGCCUGGACACCAGUGAAGAUGAUUGAAUUAAUCUCUACUUUCAGUCUGUCAGGUUAUUGCAGAAGUAAAUAUUUCAGGGAAUACUGAAAACAUUUUAAUAUUGGUGAUUUCCAAUAUCUGAGAAGUCACUCCUUGCCAAAAUUAUGGAGCUUAUGACUUGCCAAAACGUACAGAAAUAAUGUUCUUGGGUCACGCAUUGCUGAUACAGCUAUAUAUGAGAAAAGAAGCCCGCUUUGUUUGUAUAAAAUACACUCUGACUGAAUUUAAGACACAUCUCCUAAUGACUGAUACUAGGUGAAAUAGCUGCAUGCUAAAGAUUCAUUCUUGGUGGUAUCAUCACUUGUAAUAGAAAAGGACUGCAAAGGUUAGGGUUAUGUGUAUAUUUUGAACAAAUACUUUUCCCCAACUAUUGUGAAACACAGUUCACAGAAGUCUAAACCUCACUCAUUUCCUAAGGUUUAUCUUUAUUAACAAAGAAUCUGACAAUAAUGUAACGUAAAGUGGCGCUCAAGUCUUCACUCCAGGUUUGGCUGCUUCUAAGGUUACUACUACAAGACUGCACAGUCCACACCCUGAUCUGCAAAGCUGUUUCCACCUCCUUAUGUCUGAAUAGGGUAAUAGCCAUCUUUGGUGAGUCAGCAAAACCUACUUAAUCUUUUAAAAUCAGAAUCAGCACCUGCCUAAGAGGGUGGAGUUUUUCAGGCAAACAUUGCCAGCCUAUUACAUGUAGAUUAUAAUACUAUAAAUACAAAUACAUAAGAAGCAAGAAGGAGACUAGGGACAGGGUAGGCCGAUUACUCCUUGAGGCAGAAAAGACAAUAACAGAAAAUGCAGCAAUGGCCGAAGUGUUAAGUGACUUUGUUGUUUUAGGUUUUCACCAGAAAAGUUAGCAGUGAUUGGAUGACUCAGAUAGUGAACAUCAGUGUAAAUGGGGUAGGAUGUGAGGCUAAAAUAGGAAAAGAACAAGUUAAGAAUUACUUAGACAAGUUAAAAGAAAAGGAGUACU